UACAGAGGUCCCAAGCGUUGUUCGGAUUCACUGGGCGUAAAGAGCACGUAGGCGGCUUUUUAAGUCAGAGGUGAAAUCCUGGAGCUCAACUCCAGAACUGCCUUUGAUACUGGAGAGCUUGAGUCCGGGAGAGGUGAGUGGAACUGCGAGUGUAGAGGUGAAAUUCGUAGAUAUUCGGAAGAACACCAGUGGCGAAGGCGACUUACUGGACACAUAUUGACGCUGAGGUGCGAAAGCGUGGGGAGCAAACAGG
rnacentral:rRNA from 1 species